GGGGGUUAUGGGGUCGGGGGCUAUGGGGGGUCAUUGGGGGGCUGUGGGGGCUUUAUGGGGUGGGGGGGUAUGGGGGGGUAUGGGGGCUUUAUGGGGCCGGGCUGUUCUGGGGGCAGCGUAUGGGGCACAGCAGUGACCCCCACCCCAUAGCCCACCCCAUAGCCCACCCCAUAGCCCGUGUGCAGCCCCACCCCACAGCCCACAGCCCAUCCCCCAACCCCACAUCCCCUAUUCCCCACACAUCACACCCCAUACCCAUCCCACACACCCCAUAUCCCACCCCAACCCCACAAUCCCACCCCAUAUACCCCACAUCCCAUCCCACACACCCCAUAUCCCACCCCAUACCCCAUCCCACACCCCGCAUCCCAUCCCAAUCCCAUAACCCAUCCCUCACCCAUCCCAUACACCCCAUAGCCCACCCCAUAUACCCCACAUAUACCCCAUAUCCCAUCUCAUACACCCCAUACCCCAUCCCAACCCCACAAUCCCAUCCCAUACACCCCAUAGCCCACCCCAUACACCCCAUACCCACCCCAUACACCCCAUACCCCAUCCCAACCCCACAAUCCCAUCCCAUACACCCCAUACCCACCCCAUAGCCCACCCCAUAUACCCCACAAUCCCACCCCAUACACCCCCCAUCCCAUCCCAUCCCAUCCCAUCCACCCCAUACCCACCCCACCCCAUAACCCACCCCACAUCUCUCACCUCCAUCACACCGUUCCCGGGUCCGACAGAGCUCUGGGUUUAUGGGGUCGGGUCCGGAUUUAUGGGGUCGGGUCCGGAUUUAUGGGGUCGGGGCAGCCCCUCAGCAGUCUGUAUUUAUAGGGUCGGCUCAGCGCCCCGCAGCGCUCCGUGCUGAUGGGGUUUGCUCCGUAUUUAUAGGAUCUGCUCCGUAUUUAUAGGGUCGGCUCUGUAUUUAUAGGGUCAGGUCCGGAUUUAUAGGGUCGGGUCCGGAUUGAUGGGGUCUGGUCCGUAUUUAUAAGGUUCACUCCGUAUUUAUAGGGUCGGGUCUGUAUUUAUAGGUUCUGGUCUGGAUUUAUAGGGUUGGGUCGGGUCGGGACAGCCCCGCAGCACUCCGUACCAAUGGGGUUCGCUCCGUAUUUAUAGGGUCGACUCCGUAUUUGUAGGGUCCGGUCCAGAUUUAUAGGGUCGGGUCGGAGCGGCCCCGCAGCGCUCCGUCCCAAUGGGGUUCGCUCCGUAUUUAUAGGGUCGGCUCCGUAUUUAUAGGGUCCGGUCCAGAUUUAUAGGGUCGGGUCGGGUCGGGGUGGCCCCGCAGCGCUCCGUCCCAAUGGGGUUUGCUCCGUAUUUAUAGGGUCGGCUCCGUAUUUAUAGGGUCGGGUCCGGAUUCAUAGGGUUCAGUCCGUAUUUAUAGGGUCCGGUCCGGAUUUAUAGGGUCGGGUCGCGUCGGGGCAGCCCCGCAGCGCUCCGUACUGAUGGGGUUUGCUCCGUAUUUAUAGGGUUCAGUCCGUAUCUAUAGGGCUCAGUCCGUAUUUAUAGGGUCGGCUCCGUAUUUGUAGGGUCCGGUCCAGAUUGAUGGGGUCGCACUGGAGCGGCCCCGCAGUGCUCUGUCCCGAUGGGGUUCGCUCCGUAUUUAUAGGGUCGGGUCGGUGUUUAUAGGGCCGGGCCCCUAUUGACGGGGCCGGGGCGGUGUUUAUAGGGCGGGGUCGGUGUUUAUAGGGCGGGGUCGGGGCGGCCCCAUCGGCCGGGCGGAAGUUGCGAAGUGCGGCGCUGAAUCAGAAAGGGGAGAAACCGGAGAGGGGAGCCGCGAUCCUACACGGGUGGGGCGCGGGGGGGUGCGGGGGUGGGGGGUGGGGUAUGGGAUAUAGGGUAUGGGAUAUGGGGUAUGGGGUAUGGG
ensembl:lncRNA